GGGACGUAACAAAGCGACCCAGGAAUGCUUGGGCGUGCCUCCACCCACGCCGGCGUCGGCGGGCGUAUUUCGCCUCACAGUAGGUCGCCGCGACCCGUUGCUUUUGGGGACGUCGAAGGCCCGGACGGAUUGGUACCCUACCGGGUGGGGAUGCGGCUUCGGCUUCUCCUCUUGUCCGGUGGGCGAAACCGCCGGUGUCCUGGCUGCCCUGCGACGGUCGUAGAGACGAGCCCUCCCCUUCGGGGGGGCGGCUCUCGCGGCGUGCAAAAGGUCGGUGAUCCACCCGACCCGUCUUGAAACACGGACCAAGGAGUCUAACAUGUGUGCGAGUCAGUGGGCGCACUAAACCCAGAGGCGUAAUGAAAGUGACACGGGUUCGGCUGUCGCCUCGUGUGGCAGCCGGACUCAGGGCCGAUCCCUCACCGGUUGCCCUCGCCUCUCUCCCGCGUCUCGGUAAGCCGGGUGAGCUAUUUUCCCCGGCCGCUGCUGCGGGGCUCGGGGGGAGGCGGGGUUGCGAUGGUGUCCGUAAAAAAGAGCCUGCUGUUGCAGGGGGGCGCAGGCCCGGGACUUGCCAGGACGCCGCGAGACUGUCACUUUGCUGUGAGGCUCUCGGGCCGAUCAGCGGGUCAUGCGUGCAGUCGGCAAGUACCAUGAGCAGACAUGUUGGGACCCGAAAGAUGGUGAACUAUGCCUGGCCAGGAUGAAGCCAGAGGAAACUCUGGUGGAGGUCCGUA
rnacentral:rRNA from 1 species